rnacentral:rRNA from 1 species
AACGAACGCUGGCGGCAGGCUUAACACAUGCAAGUCGAACGAAGCUGUUUUAACUGGUGCUUGCACCGACUUAAACAACUGAGUGGCGAACGGGUGAGUAACACGUGGGUAACCUGCCCCAAAGCGGGGGAUAACAUUUGGAAACAGAUGCUAAUACCGCAUAACCACAGAAACCACAUGGUUUCUGUGUCAAAGAUGGUUUCGGCUAUCACUUUGGGAUGGACCCGCGGCGUAUUAGCUAGUUGGUAAGGUAAUGGCUUACCAAGGCAAUGAUACGUAGCCGAACUGAGAGGUUGAUCGGCCACAUUGGGACUGAGACACGGCCCAAACUCCUACGGGAGGCAGCAGUAGGGAAUCUUCCACAAUGGACGAAAGUCUGAUGGAGCAACGCCGCGUGAGUGAAGAAGGUUUUCGGAUCGUAAAACUCUGUUGUCAGAGAAGAACGUGUGCGAGAGUAACUGUUCGUGCAGUGACGGUAUCUGGCCAGAAAGCCACGGCUAACUACGUGCCAGCCGCCGCCGUAA